CAGAUGCGGCUUGGAUCCCUUAUGCCUGUGGCAUAGGCCAGCAGCUGUAGCUCCGAUUUGACUCCUAGCCUGGGAACUUAUCAUAUAUGCUGCGGUGCGGCCCUAAAAAGCAAAAAAAAAAAAAAAAAAUCCUAGUGUAAUUACUUAUGGAGUAUGAUUUCUUAGAAUAAACAUUGUUUUUGGCUAGUUUGCCAAGGAAAACUUAAAAGGGCAGAUAGGAGAAUUAAAGAUCAUAUAUUGUUGAAUUCAGUCAGUCACUUUGAGCAUUAUCAAAUACACCUUAGCACUAUGUGUAUCAAGGUGUUUCAUUUCCAGAAGUUUGGAAGGAGGGUGGAAUAUUUCAGAAAUCUUUAAUGCUAAUGGUCAUCUCAGCCUUGGCCCCUGUUAUGACUUGAUUUGAAACAUGAAAUGACUAGAAAAAGUUGCAGCUUUUGUUAGCAUCCAAUUUAAUACCCUUUGAAGUUGCCUUGGGCAGCCAUAGGCAUUCCAAGAAUGCCAUCAACGCUCAGAAAUUUUUGGAACUUGUUUAAAAUUGCUUUCGGAGAAAAUUUUAUGAGCAACUAAGAGAAGCAGCCUAUUCAGUAUGUUCAUUUUAUUUGCCACCCUUGGGAUGAAUCUUGGCUGUUUCCGAGAAUUAUCUUUUUCUCAGUGGAGAUUUGCCACCCUUAAGAUGGCAUUUGGCAUGUUUAGAAGAAUUCUAUGUGCUCUGAAAGCAAUCGCAAACAAGCCAUUUCAGUAAGUAAGUGGCUGCCAAGGUGAGUGCUUUGAAAAUAUCAUGCCUCAUUCAGCAUUUGAACACAGGGAGAAGUAGAAAUUCCUACUAACAAGGAGCAGGCAUUUCAGUGGGGAUACAUGUAGUAAAGUAUUACCAAGACCAUAAAAGAUACACAUAGCGUAAUUAUCCAUCCCCUUGCAAAUGGUAUUUAAGGGGAGCAGGGAGGAGUAAUGUAGUGAACAAUGGCUCUUCUAAAUUUAGAGUAUGUUUCUUCAGCUAAUGUGUAUUGUGCUCCCACUAUGUACCAAGGCAUUGUGCUAGUUUGAGGUUUCUCUUUCCCUUGUUUUUGGCAGGAUGGAGACCUGAAGCCUCUGAAAUAUUGCUGAAUUAUCAGUGAAUGGUGUUGCUGACUGUGAUGUACAUAAUUUUUAAAAAUUCAUGAUUUCCUCUAUCUGCACUAAAUGUUCUACAAUAGUGUCCAGUGGGAAUACAAUGCAAGUCACAUGUAAUUUAAAAUUCUCUAGCAGCUGCAUUACAAAAAGAAAAAAAGUAAUAGUUGCAAUUUAUUUUAAUACUUUUAUUUAACCCAAUAGUAAAAAUACUUUAACAUGUUAUCAAUAUAAAAAUUUAGUUAUUUACAUUGAAUAUUUUUUCAUAUUGAGUCUUCAAAACCUGGGAUCUUACACUUAUGUCUCAUUUUGGAUGAGACACAUUCCAAAUGCUAACUUGGUAGCAACAAGUGGCUAGUGGCUACCGCAUUGGACAGUGCAGUUCUAGAACAAUAUGAAAGAGAGUGAUUAAAGUGGGUAGGAUGCAAAUAGAGAUGUCUUAAAAGUUAACCUGUAGAUAGGCACACCUUAUCUGCUCACCUACACUAUUCCAGAACUAAAUAGGCAUCAUGUUUUUAAUUGUGUCUUAGAGCGUCUGUCCAAGCUUAAAAAACCACCAUCUUUUUUUUCCCCUUUUGAGAUUAGAAGAAUGCACUCUCUACCAAAGCCUGAAAUCUAGCCAUUAACAAUUAGCAAAAGACCUUAUCUGGUUGAGGGCUCUUAUAAUUAAAAGUUGGGGAAGCCAAUCACAACUGCAGCAUUAUGUAGCAGCCAAUAAAUCGCAGUUACAUUUACUUCUUGCAGGACCAAACACCCAAAGUUUAAUGUGGAUUCUCUUAGUUCAGUUAUGUUAAUACAAAUAAUUUCCAAGCAGUUGCUCUAUUGCCUGAAAUUUCUACAUUUAAAUAUUCUUGGCAUUUUAAAGAAACUGCUAACUUGGAUUUACAACCUGUUUCUACUUUGUAGUUAAGAUAGUAACUUGUAAUAUAUGUGUUUAAAUGAGUUUCUUGGGGUGGAUGGGGGGAAGUUAGAUGAAUAAAGCCUACCAGAUCAGACUUCAGCCUCAGUGAAAGUAUUUCUCAAGACUAAAUCUCUGAUGCCAUUGCUGGAAGUUUGUUUUGUUUUGUUUGGCAACAUGAAGUGAAAUAUUAACUCCUAUGAAGAAAGAGCUUUUGGUGUUGAGAUUUUGGAAAAAGCUGAUUCAUUUGGCUUGGCUUUAAUUGUAUUUUCUGUGUGAAUGUAAUGUAACAUUUUCUGUGGUCUUUUUAUUUAAGAAUCUGAAAGCCCCUUUAGUAGUAGAGAGUGGAUGUUGGUUUCUAGCAUGGGUGACAAACCUAUCUCCAGCAUGUGAAUCUGACUGCUAACUUGGAAGAGGCCAGAGGAGCACUUCACCUAGCUUCUUUCAAAAUCUGAGUGUAGCCCGUCUAGAUUUAAGGUUACAAAGAAGAGUUGUUUUGUUUUUUCUUGACCCUGCCCUUUCCUGGCAGAAGGAAAAGAAUGGAAGAGUGUCUGAGACUCUGUUAGCAUGAAGAUAGGGGAUUGUUCCUAAGAGACCAACUCGGUAACUAAGCUAAACCCAAAUUUUGCCCUAUUGCUAGAAUGGAGAAGAAAACUUUGCCAAUAAUUAAUGCUAUCUUCUCCAUCUGAAUUAAUCCCCUUUCUCCAUAUGUGAGGACUAGCAUCAUCUACAUUUUUUCUCUCUUUAGGGUCGCACCCACAGCAUAUGGAAGUUCACGGACUAGGGAUCAAAUUGGAACUGCAGCUGCUGGCCUACGCCACAGCCAUGGAACUUGGGAUCCAAGCUGUAUCUGUGACCUAUGUCACAGCUUGCAGCAGUCCUGGAUCCUUAACCCACUGAAGGAGGCCAAGUUCUUAAUACAUUGAGCCACAAUGGGAACUCCCAUCAUCUACGUUUUUAAAUAGAAUAAUCAUUCAGCCUAAUCUACUAAAUAGAAAUACAGCUCAAGCUUCAUUUUAGUGAUAUUAAAUAUAGCUCAAACUUCAUUUUAGUGAUAUUAUCUAACAGCCCUUGUACACCUAUGGGCACUGAUUGGGCCCUUUCCCUUGUAAUUUUUUAAGUCUGAGGUCAGAAUCACCUGGAAAAAAAAGCUGAAGAAGCCAUUCUUGUUCAUUCUCUCCAUCCCACCCCAAAGUGUUCCCUUCAGUUCACACUAUUAGAAUACUUGAUCUUGAAUACCUUAUGAGUUAAACUGGCCAACAUACAUUAACUAGGCCUGGCUUCGGCCUUAUUUUCUGUUUAAAAAUGCCAGUUUACAAAUCAGCCUGGAAACUUGAGUGGGCAACAUUCCUAACCCUGACAUCUUUAUCAAUGACUGAAGUAUCUACUUAGAACUGUUCCAGAAAGGUCCUGUGAGACCCACUUGAAAGCAUACUGUGAUAUACAGCACCCAUUCUCCAAUCACAAGUAUUGAAUACACACUUUUAUUGCACUAAAAUGUUAAUGUGAAUUGUCAGCCUGGCCCUGAAAGGGAGAGGGAGAUGGUAAUAGAUUGAUGAAUAGAUCAAUAGAUGUGUUUUAUACCCACCUCUUUAUUGGCACUGGACUAGGCUUUUUCACAUUUGUCCUCUAAUUUGAUACUCAUAACAACUGAGGGGCAAUUGGAUGUUUGCAUUUUAUAACAGAAUCUGAGGUUAAAUGAUAGGCUCCAGGUCCUACUGCCAGUACUGGUCAUCAAGAAUCUUUUCAGUUGGAAUCUGUCCCAAGCACCAUUCUAGGUGUAGGGGAUACAAUGGUGAACAAGACAAAGGCCCUUGCCUUCAUGGAGCUUACAUUAUAGUAGGGAGAGGUAGAUAAACAUUUGUAAAUACCAAUUAAGACAGUGACUAAAAGUCGGGAAAAAUAAAAUGCUGUGAGGUGAUUGUAAAUGGAGUAAAGUGGUUGGCAAAGACUUUUCUGAGGAAGUAAAGUUGAGACCUGAAUAUUCCAGUCCCAGGAAAUGAGCUCCACUCAUUGUUUGGAGGAGGAAAAGGAACAAUGUUAGAAAGGGGAAGCAGUAAGAGAUAAGGACCAGUUCAUGCGGGCUUUAGAGCCCAGGAAAAGGAGAUAGUAAUUUUAUUCUGAGAUGAGAGAAGCUGUUGGGAUCUUGAUCAUGGGGGUGAAGUGUUCUGACUUUAACUCCAUAGUGGCAUAAUCAGGGCAAGAAGACAGACCUGACUCUAGUGGCUGCAUGUGCUAUGAUACCACAGAAGACUCUCCCUUCCCUGCCCCUUUCCUUCCAAGUGGACGUGCAGGAAAGCUGGGUCUACAGUACCUUAGAGAUGACUCUGCAGUGCUCUAAGCUUUUGACUUCUCUUUCUAGGUUCCCUUGUUUUCCUAACAAUGUGUCUCUUUGUGUUACUUUAUUCUAAUCUGAUUUUAAUGACCAUUUUCUGCCAUCACUGAGAAAUCCUCAGGUACGGGGACCCAACACCACAAAUAAAGUAGAAAAAGCUCUUCUCACUGAUAACUGGGCCAGCAUUGCUCUUUUACCUUGUUAAUACCUGUAGGGGGCAGGGUUGCCCAUGUAAUGAACUAAAGAGACAGCUGAGUUUUAAAUUUUUCAAAACCUUAUUGUUCAGAUCCUUUCCAUUCGAUGCCCCUUGAUGACUUCUUCACCUGUCAGUGAUUUUACUGAUGUGUAGGUUAAAUUCAACAAAGUCAGAUGAAUCUAGUAAAUUUAAAAUACUUUAAUG
rnacentral:lncRNA from 1 species